UAGUUGGAUCUUGAGUCGUAAAGAUCGGUAUGCCUACUCAGUGUGCACCUAACCUUCCAUCCCUUUUGUCGGCUAUGUGCUCCUGGCCUUAAUUGGAUGGGUCGUAGCUCCAGUGUUGUUACUUUAAAAAAAUUAGAGUGCUCAAAGCAAGCUUAUGCUCUGAAUACAUUAGCAUGGAAUAACGUGAUAAGAGUUUGGUCAUAUUGUGUUGCCCUUCGGGACCAAAGUAAUGAUUAAUAGGGACUGUCAGGGGCAUUCGUGUGUGUGUGUGUAUAGUUGAUACAAAAAUAUUUUAUUCAAUAUGGACAUUGAAAUAUUUUAUUU
rfam:Picea glauca, whole genome shotgun sequence.